rnacentral:rRNA from 1 species
AAAUUGAAGAGUUUGAUCAUGGCUCAGAUUGAACGCUGGCGGCAGGCCUAACACAUGCAAGUCGAACGGUGACAGGAAGCAGCUUGCUGCUUCGCUGACGAGUGGCGGACGGGUGAGUAAUGUCUGGGAAACUGCCUGAUGGAGGGGGAUAACUACUGGAAACGGUAGCUAAUACCGCAUAAUGUCGCAAGACCAAAGAGGGGGACCUUCGGGCCUCUUGCCAUCGGAUGUGCCCAGAUGGGAUUAGCUUGUUGGUGGGGUAACGGCUCACCAAGGCGACGAUCCCUAGCUGGUCUGAGAGGAUGACCAGCCACACUGGAACUGAGACACGGUCCAGACUCCUACGGGAGGCAGCAGUGGGGAAUAUUGCACAAUGGGCGCAAGCCUGAUGCAGCCAUGCCGCGUGUAUGAA